rnacentral:rRNA from 1 species
CCUACGGGCGGCAGCAGUGGGGAAUAUUGCUCAAUGGGGGAAACCCUGACGCAGCAACGCCGCGUGAGGGAUGAAGGUUUUCGGAUUGUAAAGUCCUUUUGGUAGGGAAGAUAAUGACGGUAUCUAACGAAUAAGCACCGGCUAACUCCGUGCCAGCAGCCGCGGUAAUACGGAGGGUGCAAGGGUUACUCGGAAUCACUGGGCGUAAAGAGCGCGUAGGCGGGAUAGCAAGUCAGAUGUGAAAGCCUAUGGCUUAACCAUAGAACUGCAUUUGAAACUGUUCUUCUAGAGUAUGGGAGAGGUAGGUGGAAUUCCUGGUGUAGGGGUAAAAUCCGUAGAGAUCAAGAGGAAUACUCAUUGCGAAGGCGACUUGCUAGAACAUAACUGACGCUGAGGCGCGAAAGCGUGGGGAGCAAACAGGAUUAGAUACCCUUGUAGUC